AGAGUUUGAUCCUGGCUCAGGAUGAACGCUAGCUACAGGCUUAACACAUGCAAGUCGAGGGGCAGCAUGGUCUUAGCUUGCUAAGGCCGAUGGCGACCGGCGCACGGGUGAGUAACACGUAUCCAACCUGCCGUCUACUCUUGGACAGCCUUCUGAAAGGAAGAUUAAUACAAGAUGGCAUCAUGAGUCCACAUGUUCACAUGAUUAAAGGUAUUCCGGUAGACGAUGGGGAUGCGUUCCAUUAGAUAGUAGGCGGGGUAACGGCCCACCUAGUCUUCGAUGGAUAGGGGUUCUGAGAGGAAGGUCCCCCACAUUGGAACUGAGACACGGUCCAAACUCCUACGGGAGGCAGCAGUGAGGAAUAUUGGUCAAUGGGCGAGAGCCUGAACCAGCCAAGUAGCGUGAAGGAUGACUGCCCUAUGGGUUGUAAACUUCUUUUAUAAAGGAAUAAAGUCGGGUAUGCAUACCCGUUUGCAUGUACUUUAUGAAUAAGGAUCGGCUAACUCCGUGCCAGCAGCCGCGGUAAUACGGAGGAUCCGAGCGUUAUCCGGAUUUAUUGGGUUUAAAGGGAGCGUAGAUGGAUGUUUAAGUCAGUUGUGAAAGUUUGCGGCUCAACCGUAAAAUUGCAGUUGAUACUGGAUAUCUUGAGUGCAGUUGAGGCAGGCGGAAUUCGUGGUGUAGCGGUGAAAUGCUUAGAUAUCACGAAGAACUCCGAUUGCGAAGGCAGCCUGCUGGACUGUAACUGACGCUGAUGCUCGAAAGUGUGGGUAUCAAACAGGAUUAGAUACCCUGGUAGUCCACACAGUAAACGAUGAAUACUCGCUGUUUGCGAUAUACAGUAAGCGGCCAAGCGAAAGCGUUAAGUAUUCCACCUGGGGAGUACGCCGGCAACGGUGAAACUCAAAGGAAUUGACGGGGGCCC
rnacentral:rRNA from 1 species